rnacentral:rRNA from 1 species
CUGUUUAUCAAAAACAUGGCUUUCUGUAUAUUGAAGAUAGAGAGUCGGACCUGCCCGGUGAAUUUUUUAACGGCCGCGGUACUCUGACCGUGCAAAGGUAGCAUAAUCAUUUGCCUUAUAAUUGAAGGCUAGAAUGAAUGGUUUGACAAGAAUACAACUGUCUCUUUACAAUUACAUAAAAUUUUAUCUGCAGUUGAAGAAGCCUGCAUUUGAAUAAAAGACAAGAAGACCCUAUCGAGCUUAAAAAAAACUGGUGGAAUAACAAACUUUAAUCCUAACUUAUAAAUAAAUAAAUAGUCAACUACUGGAAAUUUUGGUUGGGGCGACCGGGGAACAAAAAAAACUUCCUUUAUAAAAAUUUAGAUGCCCAAAUAUUGAUCCAGCAUUAUAUGAUUAAAGAAAUUAGUUACCGUAGGGAUAACAGCAUUAUCUUUUUUAAGAGUUCUUAUCGAAAAAAAGGUUUGUGACCUCGAUGUUGGACCAGAAUAUCCUAAAGAUGCAGCC